rnacentral:lncRNA from 1 species
UUUAAUAUUAUGAUAUCGUCCACAGAUCUUAUGUAGCAUUUAAGCUCCGUUUUGAAAACGAGAAGGGUCCCCAACCCUGCUUGCCCUCGCCUUUUCGCUUAUGCGAAAACCCAUAAGACACCGGUGAAGUUUCUACCCAUUGUGGAAAGGAUGAGAUCACCAACUUAUAAUUUAGAGAAAAAGAUCGCUUCCUGGAUUAACCAGCACUUCAAAGGUUAUCAAUAUACGAUACGAUCCUCUGUAGAAUUUUUGAAUGUAAUAGCGCAAUUCUGCCUGCGAGACGCAGAUAUUUUAACUACGUACGACUUUGAGAACUUGUAUCCCAGCUUGAAUAUUGCACCGGCUUGUCUCAC